GACGAACGCUGGCGGCGUGCUUAACACAUGCAAGUCGUACGGUAAGGCCCUUUCGGGGGUACACGAGUGGCGGACGGGUGCGUAACACGUGAGUAACCUGCCCACAACUUUUGGAUAACGCUAGGAAACUGGUGCUAAUACUGGAUAUGUGCUCCUGCUGCAUGGUGGGGGUUGGAAAGCUCCGGCGGUUGUGGAUGGACUCGCGGCCUAUCAGCUUGUUGGUGGGGUAGUGGCCUACCAAGGCGGCGACGGGUAGCCGGCCUGAGAGGGUGACCGGCCACAUUGGGACUGAGGUACGGCCCAGACGCCUACGGGAGGCAGCAGUGGGGAAUAUUGCACAAUGGGCGCAAGCCUGAUGCAGCAACGCCGCGUGCGGGAUGACGGCCUUCGGGUUGUAAACCGCUUUCAGCAGGGACGAAGCUUUUUGUGACGGUACCUGCAGAAGAAGCACCGGCUAACUACGUG
rnacentral:rRNA from 1 species